rnacentral:misc_RNA from 1 species
GAUGAAGAACGUAGCGAAAUGCGAUAAGUAGUGUGAAUUGCAGAAUUCAGUGAAUCAUCGAAUCUUUGAACGCACAUUGCGCCCUUUGGUAUUCCUUAGGGCAUGCCUGUUCGAGCGUCAUUUAAACCUUCAAGCUCAGCUUGGUGUUGGGUGACUGUCCGCUUCACCGCGGACUCGCCUCAAAAUUAUUGGCGGCCGGUACAUUGGCUCUCGAGCGCAGCAGAAACGCGUAACUCGAGGUCCUCGUGCUGGCUCCCAGAAGCUAUCUUCACAAUUUUGACCUCGGAUCAGGUAGGGAUACCCGCUGAACUUAAGCAUAUCAAUGAGCGGAGGA